CAAUAGCGUAUAUUAAAGUUGUUGCGGUUAAAAAGCUCGUAGUUGGAUUUCUGCUGAGAACGACCGGUCCGCCCUUUGGGUGUGUAUCUGGCUCUUUCUUGGCAUCUUCUUGGUGAACGUUGCUGCACUUGACUGUGUGGAGCGCUACCCAGGACUUUUACUUUGAGGAAAUUAGAGUGUUUCAAGCAGGCAUACGCCUUGAAUACAUUAGCAUGGAAUAAUAAGAUAGGACCUCGGUUCUAUUUUGUUGGUUUCUAGAGCUGAGGUAAUGAUUAAUAGGGAUAGUUGGGGGCAUUCGUAUUUAACUGUCAGAGGUGAAAUUCUUGGAUUCGUUAAAGACGGACUACUGCGAAAGCAUUUGCCAAGGAUGUUUNCAUUG
rnacentral:rRNA from 1 species